rnacentral:rRNA from 1 species
GAAGGUGUGCUGUGAGGCAUGCUGGAGGUAUCAGAAGUGCGAAUGCUGACAUAAGUAACGAUAAAGCGGGUGAAAAGCCCGCUCGCCGGAAGACCAAGGGUUCCUGUCCAACGUUAAUCGGGGCAGGGUGAGUCGACCCCUAAGGCGAGGCCGAAAGGCGUAGUCGAUGGGAAACAGGUUAAUAUUCCUGUACUUGGUGUUACUGCGAAGGGGGGACGGAGAAGGCUAUGUUGGCCGGGCGACGGUUGUCCCGGUUUAAGCGUGUAGGCUGGUUUUCCAGGCAAAUCCGGAAAAUCAAGGCUGAGGCGUGAUGACGAGGCACUACGGUGCUGAAGCAACAAAUGCCCUGCUUCCAGGAAAAGCCUCUAAGCAUCAGGUAACAUCAAAUCGUACCCCAAACCGACACAGGUGGUCAGGUAGAGAAUACCAAGGCGCUUGAGAGAACUCGGGUGAAGGAACUAGGCAAAAUGGUGCCGUAACUUCGGGAGAAGGCACGCUGAUAUGUAGGUGAGGUCCCUCGCGGAUGGAGCUGAAAUCAGUCGAAGAUACCAGCUGGCUGCAACUGUUUAUUAAAAACACAGCACUGUGCAAACACGAAAGUGGACGUAUACGGUGUGACGCCUGCCCGGUGCCGGAAGGUUAAUUGAUGGGGUUAGC